rnacentral:rRNA from 1 species
CAGAGGUGGCAAGCGUUGUUCGGAAUUACUGGGCGUAAAGGGCGCGUAGGCGGCCUUCUAAGUCAGACGUGAAAUCCCCAGGCUUAACUUGGGAACUGCGUCUGAUACUGGAGGGCUCGAGUGCGGGGAGAGGGAUGUGGAAUUCCAGGUGUAGCGGUGAAAUGCGUAGAUAUCUGGAGGAACACCGGUGGCGAAGGCGGCAUCCUGGACCGACACUGACGCUGAGGCGCGAAAGCUAGGGGAGCAAACGGGAUUAGAUACCCCGGUAGUCCUAGCCCUAAACGAUGAGUGCUUGGUGUGGCGGGUAUCGAUCCCUGGCCGUGCCGAAGCUAACGCAUUAAGCACUCCGGCCUGGGGAGUACGGUCGCAAGGCUG